rnacentral:rRNA from 1 species
AUUGAACGCUGGCGGCAGGCCUAACACAUGCAAGUCGAACGGUAACAGGAAGCAGCUUGCUGCUUUGCUGACGAGUGGCGGACGGGUGAGUAAUGUCUGUGAAACUGCCCGAUGGAGGGGGAUAACUACUGGAAACGGUAGCUAAUACCGCAUAACGUCGCAAGACCAAAGAGGGGGACCUUAGGGCCUCUUGCCAUCGGAUGUGCCCAGAUGGGAUUAGCUAGUAGGUGGGGUAACGGCUCACCUAGGCGACGAUCCCUAGCUGGUCUGAGAGGAUGACCAGCCACACUGGAACUGAGACACGGUCCAGACUCCUACGGGAGGCAGCAGUGGGGAAUAUUGCACAAUGGGCGCAAGCCUGAUGCAGCCAUGCCGCGUGUAUGAAGAAGGCCUUCGGGUUGUAAAGUACUUUCAGCGGGGAGGAAGGGAGUAAAGUUAAUACCUUUGCUCAUUGACGUUACCCGCAGAAGAAGCACCGGCUAACUCCGUG